CCAAGGAUGUUUUCAUUAAUCAAGAACGAAAGUUAGGGGAUCGAAGACGAUCAGAUACCGUCGUAGUCUUAACCAUAAACGAUGCCGACCAGCGAUUAGGAGACGUUGAAUACAAAACACCACCAUCGGCGCGGUCGUCCUUGGCGUUCGUGUUCACGCACGGGCGCGAGGGCGGCUUAGCCCGAUGGCACCGGUGAAU
rnacentral:rRNA from 1 species